GUGGGGAAUAUUGGACAAUGGGCGAAAGCCUGAUCCAGCCAUGCCGCGUGUGUGAAGAAGGUCUUCGGAUUGUAAAGCACUUUAAGUUGGGAGGAAGGGCAGUAAGUUAAUACCUUGCUGUUUUGACGUUACCGACAGAAUAAGCACCGGCUAACUUCGUGCCAGCAGCCGCGGUAAUACGAAGGGUGCAAGCGUUAAUCGGAAUUACUGGGCGUAAAGCGCGCGUAGGUGGUUUUGUAAGUUGGAGGUGAAAUCUCCGGGCUCAACCUGGGAACUGCCUCCAAAACUGCAUGACUAGAGUACGGUAGAGGGUAGUGGAAUUUCCUGUGUAGCGGUGAAAUGCGUAGAUAUAGGAAGGAACACCAGUGGCGAAGGCGACUACCUGGACUGAUACUGACACUGAGGUGCGAAAGCGUGGGGAGCAAACAGGAUUAGAAACCCUAGUAGUCC
rnacentral:rRNA from 1 species